UGGGUAACCUGCCUCAAAGAGGGGAAUAGCCUCCCCGAAAGGGAGAUUAAUACCGCAUAAUAUGUUCUAGUCGCAUGACUUAGACAUCAAAGGAUUUUCUUUUAGAAAUUCCACUUUGAGAUGGACCCGCGGCGCAUUAGCUAGUUGGUGAGGUAACGGCUCACCAAGGCAACGAUGCGUAGCCGACCUGAGAGGGUGAUCGGCCACAUUGGAACUGAGACACGGUCCAGAUCCCGUAACGGGG
rnacentral:rRNA from 1 species